GCUUACGUAGCUCAGAUGGUAGAGCGGCAGGUUGAAGUACUGUGCGUCGCUGGUUCAACCCCAGCCGUAAGCU
rnacentral:tRNA from 1 species